UGGUAUUUAGUAUAUAUAUUUACGUUCUGUUUACACCAGAAAAAAGGAGAUAAAGAACUUCAGUACCAA
rnacentral:tRNA from 1 species